rnacentral:rRNA from 1 species
GACGUAGGGCGCGAGCGUUGUCCGGAUUUAUUGGGCGUAAAGAGCUCGUAGGCGGCUCGUUGCGUCGGCUGUGAAAACCCGCAGCUCAACUGUGGGCUUGCAGUCGAUACGGGCGGACUUGAGUGUUGCAGGGGAGACUGGAAUUCCUGGUGUAGCGGUGAAAUGCGCAGAUAUCAGGAGGAACACCGGUGGCGAAGGCGGGUCUCUGGGCAACUACUGACGCUGAGGAGCGAAAGCGUGGGGAGCGAAUGGG